CUUAAGUUGACAGCACUCAUCCGCUUUAAGUCAUUUGAAAAAAUAGAAAGCGUGGGAAACUUCCCCACGCAAAUUGUAGCAAAUUUGUAGGCGGAUCUUCUGCCAUACGUGGACCUUGUGUACAGCACCAACUAGCCAACGCCGAGUGACAAGCGACGCCGGCAACGGUCGACCACCAGAUGACAAGAGACGAGACCAAGAGCAGUGAAAAUAGACAACGAGAGAGGAGACGACGAGAAGAGAGAAAAACCGCAAUUAAACAUUCAGAAGUUGAUGCAAACAACAUUGGCAUUGAGAAGGAAGGAGAUCAUAUCAGACGUCCUUCCCCGCAGACAUAGCCUAUUGGUUCGGUGGUGGCCUGCAAUCAUGUUGGAAUCCCAGGGAUCCUCAGAUGUAAAUAUCCGACGUGCUGUGGCGCUCCGUGGCCUUCCUUUCUACCUCCAUGAGGAUGAUGCCACUUUUCUAAAGACAUGGGAUUUAAGUCUCUCAAUCGGAGUUCCCAGAUAUUGAGGACCUUACUGUUGAACUCAUUCUGAUCAGCACGAACAGUGCAAAUGCAUCCCUCUGCCCAAAGAAGACUCCUGUUGUUUUGGAAUGAAAUGAUUGUUGAAUUUCCUAGCAUUGGUCAGGCAUUUGUCAUAAAGUAUCUAUCUAUCUAUCUAUCUACAGUAGAUAGAUAGUAUCUAUCUAUCUAUCUAUCUAUCUAUCUAUCGAUCUAUCUAGUCUUUAUGCCCUUGAUCUAAACUGUGUUUAUUUGAAUUUAGCCUCCACUACAGCCCUGUUCUGAACUCCAACCUGUAUUUGUUUCCAUGGUUUACAUGAAAAUAAAAGAUUAAGAAGAAUUUCA